rnacentral:rRNA from 1 species
AAGGGCACCACAAGAACGCGUGGAGCAUGUGGCUUAAUUUGACUCAACGCGGGAAAUCUUACCGGGUCCGGACACACUGAGGAUUGACAGGCAAAAGAUACAAAUUUUUUCGGGAAUUUGCAUUGUAAAAUAUGCGAGUCCUUUCAUGAUUAUGUGAUAGGUGGUGCAUGGCCGUUCUUAGUUCGUGGAGUGAUCUGUCUGCUUAAUUGCGUUUCACUACRAUUUAAAAUAUUAUGUUUGUUUGUUUGCUGUUCAGUGUUUCGGCACUUUGAACGCACAACACAUAAUUCCAAACAAUCGGAAAGCAACGAACGUGACCGCAACCUCUUGUUGCCUUUAUUUUUAAAGUAUAAUAUUUUUUCUCUUUCGGGAGAAAUAUUUAUUGUAUUGAAAAAGGCUUUAAAACUAGAGGGACCGCUGUUCUUAUUUCUAAAACCAGAGGAAGAUUGCGGCAAUAACAGGUCUGUGAUGCCCUCAGAUGUUCCGGGCUGCACACGUGCUACAAUGAUUGUUGCAGUGAGCAUCUAUUUUCAAACGCUACCGUGGUGGAUUGUUAUUUAUGUUUUUUGAUUUCUUCGGAAUGAAAAGAAACUAUUUAAUUUAUUCCACAUUACGUGUCAGCUAAACCUGGUUCGAAAGUAACUAGGUAAUCAAUUGGAAGUAACGAUUUCCUUUUAUAGGAAAGCACAAUUUAUGGUCUUUUUGUUACUGCAGGCUAUUUACUUCGGUUUAUAGUUCUCGUCGGUUAACAUAAGAUAUCUGUGCUACAACCAUUUAAUUUCAAGGUGGGGACAGACCAUUGUUWAWUUGUUGGUCUCGUUUUAACUAGGAAUGCCUUGUACUGGC